rnacentral:rRNA from 1 species
GGUGAGGCACAACCUGUCCUUGCCUGGGGGAUAAGAAGCCGAAAGGCUUUCUAAUACCGCAUGAGACCACAGGACCGCAUGGUCAAGAGGUCAAAGGAGAAAUUCGGGCAAGGGUGGGCUCGCGUCUGAUUAGCUAGUUGGUGGGGUAACGGCUCACCAAGGCAACGAUCAGUAGCCGACCAGAGAGGGUAAUCGGCCACAUUGAACUGAGAACCGUCCAAUCCUACGGGAGGCAGCAGUGGGAAUAUUGGCAAUGGGCGAAGCUGAACAGCAACGCGCGGAGAGAGUUUUCGGAUCGUAACUUCUAUCCCGGGUGAAGAUAAUGACGGUAGCCCGGAAGAAGCCCCGGCUAACUACGUGCCAGCAGCCGCGGUAAUACGUAGGGGGCAAGCGUUGUCCGGAAUGAUUGGGCGUAAAGGGCGCGUAGGCGGCCUUGUAAGUCCGGUGUGAAAUUCCUGCUUUUAAGGUAGGAAUUGCAUUGGAAACUGCAGGGCUUGAGUGCAGGAGAGGUAAGCGGAAUUCCCGGUGUAGCGGUGAAAUGCGUAGAGAUCGGGAGGAACACCAGUGGCGAAGGCGGCUUACUGGACUGUAACUGACGCUGAGGCGCGAAAGUGUGGGGAGCAAACAGGAUUAGAUACCCUGGUAGUCCACACUGUAAACGAUGAAUGCUAGGUGUAGGAGGUAUCGACCCCUUCUGUGCCGGAGUCAACACAAUAAGCAUUCCGCCUGGGGAGUACGGCCGCAAGGUUGAAACUCAAGGAAUUGACAGGGGCCCGCACAAGCAGCGGAGCAUGUUGUUUAAUUCGAAGCAACGCGAAGAACCUUACCAGGUCUUGACAUCCAUUAAAAGCCAUAGAGAUAUGGUGUGAGCUUGCUCGUAAUGAGACAGGUGGUGCAUGGUUGUCGUCAGCUCGUGUCGUGAGAUGUUGGGUUAAGUCCCGCACGAGCCCAACCCUUGUGAUUAGUUACUACGGGUAAGCCGAGACUCUAGUAAGACUGCGGGACACUCGGAGGAGGUGGGGACGACGUCAUCAUCAUGCCCUUAUGACCUGGCUACACGUGCUACAUGCCACUACGAGAGCUGCAACCGGAACGUAAGCGAUCCAUAACUGUCCAAGUUCGGAGUGGGCUGACCGCCCAAUGAAUCGGAAUUGCUAGCAAUCGCGAAUCAGCAUGUCGCGGUGAAUACGUUCCCGGGCCUUGUACACACCGCCCGUCACACCAUGGGAGUUGAUAGCGCCCGAAGUCGGUGAGGCAACCAGCAAUGGGGCCAGCCGCCGAAGGUGAGAUCAAUGACUGGGGUGAAGUCGUAACAAGGUAACCAA